rnacentral:tRNA from 1 species
GCUUCCCGAUAAGGGAGCAGGCCAGUAAAAAGCAUUACCCCGUGGUGGGGUUCCCGAG